AAUCCAUGAUGUGGGCAGUCUCUCAGCAUUCCCUUAAAUCUAUCCCAAGCUUCAUAGAGAGAUUCAGAAUCUGUUUGCUUGAAGCUUGUAAUAAGAUUAUGGAUGUGUGU